ACACAAGUGUUCCAGAAUUUAUCUGGGAAUCCACUGAAAAGGGAGGCUCAACACAAACACACAUCACAAUGUUGAUGAUAAACGUUUGGAAAGCUGUUCUCGUAUAUUUGGAAUCACGGAACAUCUCCGCAAGCAAGGCAAAAUAUACAUCCGGAAGGAGAUUCUGGAAGGUAUACAUUUAAGAAGAAAGGGAGCUACAGGCUUCAUGAAAAAGAACAAAAGAAAGCUAAUUUCAGCUUCCUGACAUUCUCAUUCCAUCAGCUGGUCCUACUAAUUCUACCUCCAGUGUCUGUCUUGCAUCUUCCAGCUCCUCUCCACCUUUUUCAGUCCUUGUAAACCUGAAAUCAAUCCAAGCUCAAAAUCACAACCUCUUCCAUUGAGUGUACUUUAGUGUCUCACACAUAGAGGACCCUCAAAAAAUACUGGUUGAAGAAACAAAUUAUGAUAAAACAGACUAAAAGAACGGAAUACAAA
rnacentral:lncRNA from 1 species